rnacentral:rRNA from 1 species
CCUCGUGGCCCAACCUCCCACCCUUGUCUCUAUACACCUGUUGCUUUGGCGGGCCCACCGGGGCCACCUGGUCGCCGGGGGACGUUCGUCCCCGGGCCCGCGCCCGCCGAAGCGCUCUGUGAACCCUGAUGAAGAUGGGCUGUCUGAGUACUAUGAAAAUUGUCAAAACUUUCAACAAUGGAUCUCUUGGUUCCGGCAUCSAUGAAGAACGCAGCGAAAUGCGAUAAGUAAUGUGAAUUGCAGAAUUCCGUGAAUCAUCGAAUCUUUGAACGCACAUUGCGCCCCCUGGCAUUCCGGGGGGCAUGCCUGUCCGAGCGUCAUUUCUGCCCUCAAGCACGGCUUGUGUGUUGGGUGCGGUCCCCCCGGGGGCCUGCCCGAAAGGCAGCGGCGACGUCCGUCUGGUCCUCGAGCGUAUGGGGCUUUGUCACUCGCUCGGGAAGGACUGGCGGGGGUUGGUCACCACCACAAAAUUUUACCACGGUUGACCUCGGAUCAGGUAGGAGUUMCCCSCUGAACUUAASCAUAUCAAU